UACGUAGGGUGCGAGCGUUGUCCGGAAUUAUUGGGCGUAAAGAGCUCGUAGGCGGUUCGAUAAGUCGGGUGUGAAACCUCCAGGCUCAACCUGGAGACGCCACCCGAUACUGUCGUGACUAGAGUCCAGUAGGGGAGCGUGGAAUUCCCGGUGUAGCGGUGAAAUGCGCAGAUAUCAGGAGGAACACCAGCGGCGAAGGCGGCGCUCUGGGCUGGAACUGACGCUGAGGAGCGAAAGCGUGGGGAGCGAACAGG
rnacentral:rRNA from 1 species